UGAUUUUUUUUGAUUUUGUCUAAACAAAAGUAAAAUCACUUUUAACAUUUGCCUUUAAAUGAGAGAUUUUUGGAAGCAUUUUUUUAAUUUUACCUGGAAUAAAUAACUAGAGACUUCAUAACUUGAAACUCAUGGUGCGUCAAUGACUUACAAUAGCUUUUUGAAGGUGCAACAAAAGGAAGUUUUCUCCAAAGAUUUUACUCUUCCUGAUACUUUGGAUCCAUUUCAACCUAAACAAUUAAAGGUAGAACAACCUUAAAAAACUUCGAACAACAAUCUCUCCGUGGGAAGCAGCUUUUAAGUGCAGAAGUCCGUGCCAAUCAUGAAAAUGGUGCUCCAGCUUAAUCACCGAUAAAACUGGGGUUGAUGGUCCCCACCUGAAGAUAUUGUUGAAAAAGCUUUGAAUGCAGUUCUGAAGUCUCCACCUCAGAUGCCUACCUUAAAAACACCAACUACUGCCCUUGCCUUCAUCCUCAACAACAAUAUUUCCAAGAGAACAUUUUGUCAAAUAAAAGAGUAAUGUGCUGAAAACUUUUCAAACAUCUGGCUAAACUAUAAUGCUGUUCCUGAAGCAAAAAAAGACUGGCGACCCUUAAGAAAUUCAAGUAGAUACACUGACAGCAAAAGCUCCACUUCAAAACAUUUUGGACCAAACAGUUAAAAGAGUAUUCUUGGAAGAUGCCCUUUUAAUUGAAUGGCUUAAAGACCAGUGUCUCUGUCCAGGAAUCUAUGAAUCUUCUAUCAAAAGGAUGAAAAUGGGAAAGUUCCAGGUGGCAAAGCAUACCUUGUCUCACAAACGGCUCCACUUCAAGCCAGAGAUGAAAGCAACAAAGAUAUGAUAUUUUACAACAACAAGAAUGUUAACAGUGGCAGUUUAUGUUGUCCAAUCAGAGUAGCAAUUGAAUAUGAGUCUAAACAAAACUUAGCUUGUGAAAUAGUUAGACUCCAUGAAGAGAUUCUCAACCUUUAAAAUUUAAAAAAUCGUUUUUUGUCUGAUGCAGGCAGCUUGGUGGCUUUUGAACCUUGCAGUUUUAUAAUUGAUACUUUAAGAAACUUUUUCCUGCAUUCCAAAUAUUUAAGGCAACUUUUUAAAAAAAAUAUUCUAGUAAAACUUUAGAAACAAAAAUAAAGUUAUGUGUCAAUUUUAGUUAUGAUUUUUCAAAAUUAUAAAAUUCUUUCCAGCUCAAAUUUAUGGCAUUCCUGAAUCUCUUGUCAGAAACUUGGCUACAAUUUGGAGCGCACAAGCUUGUGGAUUUACCUUGCUAAAGCAUUUGAUAGGCUUUGUGAUGAAACUAAGGCAAUCUACUACUGAUUUUCAAUCAUACCAACUCUUCACAAAGUUCUCUAAUAUGGUAAGGCUUUGGUUGAAAACUCCUUCCUACAGGGUUGACAAAUUAAGAGCCAAGAAAAACCCACCAUGUUUUCAUGCGCUUGACCAGAUCUGACCAUGUCAGAAAGAUUUCAUAGACUGAUGAUUUUAAAGACUUGUUUUUGUGUUUGAUUGAUUUAAAUGACCCUGUGGUUAGAAGUUUUUCAACAAAACUCAAAAAACAAGAAAGUUAUUUACAAAUGAAAUCAGGAAAUCGCUUUUAACUUCUCAUUGCAGUAGUUGGGGAGUCCGAAUCUGAUUCUGGAAAUGGUCUUUGAACCUUACUGAUAGUUUUUAGUCCAGUUUAUCAAUUUUAUUAUUUAAAAAUAUUAUCGUGUUCACUUGGCAAGAGUGAACUUAUACUUUGAUGAAAUCUUCCAGGUUUUUUGUAUUAUUACUGCUAUUUUAACUUUAUUUGGUGUCAAAAUAAAAUUUUUUCCAAUACUAACUAUUUUUAACCAAAUUAUUUAACCAAAGUCCAAUGUAAUAAUUUUGAAAUACAAUACUUUAACAUGCAUGGACUAAUUUCAAUUUCUAGAGUUAAUCAACAACCCUCCUAAUUGACUGCAACAACUUCUAAAUGUAGAUUUUCUAGAUCGAUUGCAACAACUUCUGAAUCGCUGCUAUGUUGUAACAACAGUUGAUUGAGAAUUUAGUGCAAUGAACAAUAUAAAAAAAUCAAUCAG